CUGGAACGCGCCCCAGGCGCACCCAGAAACCCUUUGUGAACUUAUACCUUACUGUUGCCUCGGCGCAUGCCGGCCCCCCUGGGGGCCCCUCCUUCUGGAGGAGCAGGCACGCCGGCGGCCAACCUAACUCUUGUUUUUACACUGAAACUCUGAGAAUAAAACAUAAAUGAAUCAAAACUUUCAACAACGGAUCUCUUGGUUCUGGCAUCGAUGAAGAACGCAGCGAAAUGCGAUAAGUAAUGUGAAUUGCAGAAUUCAGUGAAUCAUCGAAUCUUUGAACGCACAUUGCGCCCUCUGGUAUUCCGGAGGGCAUGCCUGUUCGAGCGUCAUUUCAACCCUCAAGCCUGGCUUGGUGAUGGGGCACUGCCUGUAAAAAGGCAGGCCCUGAAAUUCAGUGGCGAGCUCGCCAGGACCCCGAGCGCAGUAGUUAAACCCUCGCUCUGGAAGGCCCUGGCGGUGCCCUGCCGUUAAACCCCCAACUUCUGAAAAU
rnacentral:rRNA from 1 species